rnacentral:rRNA from 1 species
GUGAAUACCUAUAACAUAGCAUUAAUGCACCAUAUCCCAUUAGAACUCCACAGUUAAGUGUGCUCGAGUUAGAGUAGUAUUGGGAUGGGUGACCGCCUAGGAAGUCCUAGUGUUUUACAUG